rnacentral:rRNA from 1 species
UACGUAGGGUGCGAGCGUUGUCCGGAAUUAUUGGGCGUAAAGAGCGCGCAGGCGGCUUGGCAAGUCGGGUGUGAAAUCCCGGGGCUCAACCCCGUGACUGCAUCCGAUACUGUCAGGCUAGAGGUAGGUAGGGGAGAUCGGAAUUCCUGGUGUAGCGGUGAAAUGCGCAGAUAUCAGGAGGAACACCGGUGGCGAAGGCGGAUCUCUGGGCCUUACCUGACGCUCAGGCGCGAAAGCUAGGGGAGCGAACAGG